UCAAUUAGCUUGGUAGCAACUUCUUGACACCUUAUACAGUCUCAACACAAAUAAGCUGUGGGCGACUAUGAACGGGAUCCUCAGACGUAUGGUGGAUUAAUCUGAAGCAGCUCCCUCGGUGUCAGCUGACCGUACGGAGGAAUUUAUCAACCUGAUGUCUUCGAGGAGGACAAAAACAAUUAUAGACGCUGUAAGUGGAUUGUAUGUUGCCCCGCUGGAACUCCCAGAGCAUCAUCCUCCGCAGUACAAACCCUGCCUCGAUCAUCAGGACUUCAGGCGAUGAUGGAUGGAGCUGUCUCCCUCCAGGUUGUCAUAGCAUCUGUUGCGCCGUGCUCGCUGCAUCCUGCUCGGUCGAGGCUCGCGUGCGCACGGAUGGAUCUCCACUGCUGUUUGUGUGUGGGCCGAUUGGUGGGUAAUGACGGGAAAUGAGCAACACAAACCUACCUUUCAGCACAAACCUCCCAUCGUCUGAAGUUGCCGCUGUCUUGCAUUUUAUAGGUAAUGGGUGGUAGUUUUUUUUUUUUUCUUUCUUUUACAGAGAAUUUGAAUAACGCUCAUUGAAAGAGGUAUUGGAGGCGCAGAAUGGAUUUUCAUGGUUGAAAUGUUUUAGAGCGCACUGGCCGGGCAUAUUCUGCUUAAGGUGAGGGGGGUCAUGGUAUAGGGGGAGGAAAGAGGAGAUAACUGGAGAUAAAAACAAUGGGAGAGUGACGAAGGAAAGGAUGGCUGAAUGAGGGAGAAAUCAAUAGGAAAUCAGUGUUUGGGGAGGGCUUGUCGUUUAUCAGGUGACACGGUUAAACAGCGUUAAGGCACUAAAAGUGAAAAAUAAGGGCCAUCCCCAUGCUGGUAUUGAUCACAGCGGAAUGGGGCGGCAGAAGGCCGAAGCCACUAAUAAAAUAAGACGUAUCUGAGUGGGAAUCAGUCAGGGAUCGAUGGGCACAGUGAUCAAGGCCAAAAACAUCUUCACUGGGAUUUAAGCCUGUUCUGCUCUCCUGUGCCCCGUUACACACCUCAGUGUGAGCAAAGGUUGGUCUCAUGGAAGAAGCGGGGUCAUUUAGAGGCCUUUGAGGCUGGACUUACCCGGGAGAACUACACAGAUUUGGGCCAGAAAGUGGUUUAAAAGGGUGAACUGUUUGAGGGACAGAGUAUUUUUUUUUGUCCGUACAUGCUUUCAUUUAUAUAAAACAUAAGUUAAUUUUGUUUUAUCUUAUUUUUAUCUAAAGUUUAUAUGUCUGGCAAAGCAGGUCUCAUCUAAAGUUGUCUUCACAUCGUCUGAUUGCAGUGUCAUUGCCAUUAUAUUGUACACAUUGAUUUAUAGAUUAUAUAGUAUCUGCAGUUUGUUACAUUUUCUCUUGCAGUUCCUCUCAGCCUUGGACAGAUUUAUUUGAAAACCUGUGCAGAGUUAACGCUAUCCAACUGUACACGUACAAAAACGACACAUGCCAAAAAAAAACCCCAAUAAUAAUAAUCUGCGUAUGUAUGCUUAAGUACAAAUUUCCCUUUAAAAAUCACAAUCACAGAACCUCGUAGUCUGCCCACUAUGCUUUCUAAAUGGUCGGUAUAUAUGAACAUCAAACACAGCACUCCACUAAUAAAUACACUGUUUGUGCUACUGGUACAACUCCUAAAUCCAGCUUGGUAAUAUUUCUUCCACAGUUAAAAAUGAGUGCACGUGAUGAGUAUAGGGACGGGUUUAAGAGACCUCAGAAGGCUGAGAGCGCGUGGUACCCACGAUUCAUCGCUGCCCAAUAUAUCUCGUCAGUUUUCUCAGCCAUGAAGAUGUUCAUAUGUACGGGUCACAGUCUCUUUACAGCCGUGUUCAUUCUGAGGACAAGUUUGUCUUUAUACAGUAAAGUAGUAUAUGGAUAUUACUGACUGUAGCUGGGGCACC